GGUGCAGGACAAUCGCUCGAUGCUGGUGCCAUUUUAGUAAAUCCAUGGAAUAUCACAGAAGUUGCUGCUUCCAUUGCUUAUGCUUUGAAUAUGCCAGCUGAUGAAAGAGAAAAGAGACACCAGCAUAAUUUCAUGCAUGUAACAACUCAUACAUCUCAAGAAUGGGCUGCAACCUUUGUUAGUGAACUUAAUGAUACUAUUGUGGAAGCUCAACUAAGGACUAUGCAAGUUCCACCUCUACUUCCUAUGAAAGAAGCCGUUGAUCACUAUUUGGAAUCCAAUAAUAGAUUGCUUAUACUGAUGGAAUAACAAAUAUACUGGUAGAAAUGAAUGUUAUAACACCACAUGCUUUUGUUUCAUAAGUUUGGUUUACCCACAUCGUGAAAAUAUUGUGGGUAAUCAACCAACUUAUGAAGAGUUAGUUGAACGACUUAAUGAUACAACUUCCCGCCUUAAUGCUACUAACGAACAACUUAGUGUAGUUGUGGAUAUACUUCGUCAUAACAAUUUGAUGGCACCGCCUCCACCACCUCCAACAGACCAAGCUUCAAAUGCAAAUUUAAGAGAGUCGCCAUCUAUUUCAGUUCGGGAGUCACAAGAUGAUUCUUAGUUUAUUUACAUUAAUUUACUAAGGAAUGAACUUUAUGAAGUUUUUUUUAUUUUGGUAGGGGUAACCUUAAAAUGAUAACUUUAUGACUUAUUUUAGUAUUAAACAUUAUAAAGAAUUUUAGCAUUAAACAUUUUAUUAUUGAAUGGUUUUUUUCUAGUUUAUUUCUAAUAUAUAACAUUUAUAAAUAACUGUUAUUAUCUUUU